CCUUUUUCCUUUUAAAGUAAGGGUUUAACACCCAUCACUGCAUUAUUUAUCAAAGUUAAAACGGGCUAAACAUGAGACUGAAUCUCUCUGGUUGGAGUUUAGUGAAGUUAAAGAGAAUUAACGUUUUCCUUUUUUCCGACUUUUCACCUGAUUCCACGCGUGACAGCAUAAAACAGCUGUACCCCCACAGUGAAUACGUGUAGACGUAACUAGCGUCAGAUGUGUGUUGCUCAUGCACACAGAAAGAUUUAAAGCUACGGGCCCCAGAGCUCAGCUAGAGGCGCUGCUGUAAUGUGGCUGAAACCGCGCUCACAAGCUGUAAUUCUGCAUGCGAUUUGCAUGUUUCCUGGCUGUUAUGAGGGAGGUCGUGACAUUUUCUGCCUAGUUUUCCCUUGGGUGCUUGUUCUUGGUGUGCAGCUUCAUACCCGAUGCCACACAGGCACAUUUAGUAUCACCCAGCAGGGCGCUAAGCGUACAGUGAUUAUCCGUUACAGUGAUAAGGGGUAGGGUUUUGUUGUUGUUGUUGUUGUUUUUAAACGCACUGCAGAAUAGUUUUAAUAUCCAUUCCCAAAAGCUUCUGGGAUAUGUGAGUUGAAGAAGACUUUAAAGUCACCUUCAAAAAUAUUGCGCUAGACGAACGAAGAUCUCCUUUGUGCUAUGCAGACUGCGUGAGACAGAACCACUGAUGUCCGACCUUCAAGAUGAAGAGGGUCCCAAUACAGGUAAGAGUGAUGCUCUUUAUCAUGGCCCACUGAAAAGGCUCUCCUACCUGCUGCAAAUGACUUAAAGAUUAAGAUCCAACCUCUUAUGUAGUAAUUCCGUUGUCUGAGGUGAUGGCAAAGUGCUCGUGUCAGGUCAUGGACCAGCUGGUGUAUGUGUACGAUGAGUACCCCCAGUCGGUGGAGAACAUGUACUUACCUCAUUGUGUGGUGGUUCGCCGAUGCUCUGGUUACUGUUCGGAUGAGGGCUUCAAGUGCCUUCCUACCCUCGAACGCAACACCACUCUGCAGCUGACGAUUCGUUUCCACGAACCCCCUGUGGUGGAGCUCACAUUUCUAGAACAUCAGCAGUGCGAAUGCAGAAAACCUGAUAAUCUUCAGUAUUAUGAAAGAUCAGUAAUUAAGUCACAGCAGCAGCAGCAAGUCCAUUGAGAGCAGACCUCGGAGGAGGAAACAAACGAAGAAAUGGCUGUAGAAAGUGCCAGUUCCAGACAAGAUCACUCUUCGCUGAUUUGGCAUGUGGUGUCUUUGUGAUUUUUAUUCAGCUGUCUGCAUUUUUGUGCCAUUUGUGCAUAAAAGAAUAUUUAUAUAUAUAUCUAUUUUUUUCACAAUGAAUAAAAAUUAAAAUAAAUAUAUAAAAAGUGAGAAAAAACCCAGCCAAGUCAUUAUUAUUAUUAUUAUUUUAAUCCUAUAUCAUGCUUUCAUCAUGAAAAAUGAUCUUUUUCUGAUCGGAGCCUAUCCCAGCUGUGAUAGGAGGAAAGCUGGGGAACACUCUGGAUAGGUCGCAUGUUUAUCCCUCUGUGGCGUGGUGUUAACCUCAAACAACAAACCAGAAUUUUUUGGGUUAUUGCAGUGUCCAUUUAAUUUAAUGACUGAAGGCAACCCAUUGUUCAGUAAAAUGAGGAGGAGACGAGGGACUGACCUUUGACCUGGUGGCGAAACACUCUUGUCAGGAACAAAAUCCACAUUGGAUGUGGUGCCAGCUACUGCCAAGACUAAUAUUAUUUUUACACAUGUUUAAUUUUAAAAAUACAUUAAAAACUAUGAGCAUGUACACAAAUAUAUAAAGAAACAUAUUUGGUUGUUUGUAAAUAGAUUUUGAUAUCAUUCAAUUCCUAAAACAGCAUUUUUUAGGGGUUUCUUGCCUCAGGGAAACAUUAUGCACUUAGAUCACUUUUCUUGGGGCAAAAACUAAAGCGGAGGUUCUGUUGUUAUGGAAACUGACUGCUUUAGGCGCCACCCUGCUACCAUUGAUCCAAUGAUUGUCUUGUUAUCAAGCUGUUACAGCAUAUAAUACCCAGGUGAUCUUUUGAAUCAGGUGUGUUGGAGCAGGAACUGGAGUCCUCAUGAGAACCUCUGUGUUAAUGUUUUGAGAGCACUGGGUGGUUGUGUGUGUAUACAUAGUCAAACCAACCACUAAUAUGAACUUAUACUAACUUCGGAUCAAUUCAGUUUUACUUAUAUAGCACCAAAUCACAACAGCAGCCACUUCAACGUGCUUUAUAUUGUGAGGUAAAGACCCUACAAAAAAUAGAGAGAAAAUCCCAAACAUCAGACGAAUCCUUAUGAGCAAGUGCUUGGAGACAGUGGGAAGGAAAAACUCAAUUUUAAAAGGAAGACACCUACAGGAGAACCAGACUCGGGUAGGGGUGACCUGCUGGAGGUGAGGGGAGGGGACAGAUUUGAAUAAAUAAUGAUUAAAUGCAGGGUGGUGUAUAAACUGCUCUGCACAGAGAGUGAAAAGAGGGGAGUUCCUGUCAGUGCUGUCACUGGGCACAAGAACUGUGAUUGGACAGUUAGGGUUAUUCUCUCAGCGAGGACAGUGAACUUACCGAGAGUGAGAGCAAGUAAAAGUCCCCAGCAUCAGGUUUUAGGAACAGUUUUGAGGAACAGA